rnacentral:rRNA from 1 species
GACGAACGCUGGCGGCGUGCUUAACACAUGCAAGUCGAACGGAGUGGCGAACGGGCGAGUAACACGUGGGUGACCUGCUCUGCACUUCGGGAUAAGCCUGGGAAACUGGGUCUAAUACCGGAUAGUGUGGGAUGGGCCCGCGGCCUAUCAGCUUGUUGGGGGGGUAAUGGCCUACCAAGGCGGCGAAGGGUAGCCGGCCUGAGAGGGUGGACGGCCACAUUGGGACUGAGAGACGGACCAGACUCCAACGGGAGGCAGCAGUGGGGAAUAUUGCACAAUGGGCGGAAGCCUGAUGCAGCGACGCCGCGUUGGGGAUGACGGCCUUCGGGUUGUAAACUCCUUUCACCUUAGACGCGGUAGCUGGAGAAGAAGCAACGGCUAACUACGUGCCAGCAGCCGCGGUAAUUC